rnacentral:rRNA from 1 species
AGAGUUUGAUCAUGGCUCAGGACGAACGCUGGCGGCGUGCCUAACACAUGCAAGUCGAGCGAAGUAGGAUGUGUUCUUCGGAAUGCGUUCUACUUAGCGGCGGACGGGUGAGUAACGCGUGAGGAACCUGCCUCUCACAGAGGGAUAGCCUCGGGAAACUGAGGGUAAUACCUCAUGAGACUUAUAUACCGCAUGGUAUAUAAGUUAAAGCGAUUUAGCGGUGAGAGAUGGCCUCGCGUCCCAUUAGCUAGUUGGUGAGGUAACGGCUCACCAAGGCGACGAUGGGUAGCCGGCCUGAGAGGGUGGACGGCCACACUGGAACUGAGACACGGUCCAGACUCCUACGGGAGGCAGCAGUGGGGGAUAUUGCACAAUGGGGGAAACCCUGAUGCAGCGACGCCGCGUGAGCGAAGAAGGCCUUCGGGUCGUAAAGCUCUGUCCUAAGGGAAGAUAAUGACGGUACCUUAGGAGGAAGCCCCGGCUAACUACGUGCCAGCAGCCGCGGUAAAACGUAGGGGGCGAGCGUUGUCCGGAAUUACUGGGCGUAAAGGGUGCGUAGGCGGCUAUUUAAGUCAGAUGUGAAAGGCUACGGCUCAACCGUAGUGAGCAUUUGAAACUGAAUAGCUUGAGUCAAGGAGAGGGAAGUGGAAUUCCUGGUGUAGCGGUGAAAUGCGUAGAUAUCAGGAGGAAUACCAGUGGCGAAGGCGACUUCCUGGCCUUAGACUGACGCUGAGGCACGAAAGCGUGGGGAGCAAACAGGAUUAGAUACCCUGGUAGUCCACGCCGUAAACGAUGAGUGCUAGGUGUUGGGGAGGUUACUCUUCAGUGCCGCAGCUAACGCAAUAAGCACUCCGCCUGGGGAGUACGUACGCAAGUAUGAAACUCAAAGGAAUUGACGG